CACACAGGCUAAUUACAUCUAACUACCCACCCUUCUGUGGGGUUAGUUUGGCAUGCAGCACAGGAAAUUGAAUUGGUCCACUGACCAUCCACAGCUUAUUAGGGCUCACAGCUCACGUGAGAAAGAGAUGUCAAUCUCAUCAUGACUUCUCUAAUGAAAUAACAUGCCUCAUGCCUUCUCUAAUGAAAUAACAUGCCUCGUGCCUUCUCUAAUGAAAUAACAUGCCUCGUGCCUUCUCUAAUGAAAUAACAUGCCUCGUGCCUUCUCUAAUGAAAUAACAUGCCUCAUGCCUCAUGACUUCUCUAAUGAAAUAACAUGCCUCAUGCCUUCUCUAAUGAAAUAACAUGCCUCGUGCCUUCUCUAAUGAAAUAACAUGCCUCGUGCCUCAUGCCUUCUCUAAUGAAAUAACAUGCCUCAUGCCUUCUCUAAUGAAAUAACAUGCCUCAUGCCUCAUGCCUUCUCUAUUGGUAAUGGUGAUAGGUUAGCAUGUCUCGGGGCUAUGAUGCUAACCUCCCCUGUUAUUGGUAAUGGUGAUAGGUUAGCAUGUCUCGGGGCUAUGAUGCUAACCUCCCCUGUUAUUGGUAAUGUUGAUAGGUUAGCAUGUCUUGGGGCUAUGCUAUUACAUGCUAAUCUCCCCUGUUAUUGGUAAUGGUGAUAGGUUAGCAUGUCUCGGGGCUAUGAUGCUACCCUCCCCAGUUAUUGGUAACGGUGAUAGGUUAGCAUGUCUCGGGGCUAUGAUGCUAACCUCCCCUGUUAUUGGUAAUGGUGAUAGGUUAGCAUGUCUCGGGGCUAUGAUGCUAACCUCCCCUGUUAUUGGUAAUGGUGAUAGGUUAGCACGUCUCGGGGCUAUGAUAUAACAUGCUAACCUCCCCUGUUAUUGUAAUGGUGAUAGGUUAGCACGUCUCGGGGCUAUGAUGCUAAUCUCCCCUGUUAUUGGUAAUGGUGAUAGGUUAGCACGUCUCGGGGCUAUGAUGCUAAUCUCCCCUGUUAUUGGUAAUGGU